rnacentral:rRNA from 1 species
AUUGAACGCUGGCGGCAGGCCUAACACAUGCAAGUCGAACGAGUGGCGGACGGGUGAGUAAUGUCUGGGAAACUGCCCGAUGGAGGGGGAUAACUACUGGAAACGGUAGCUAAUACCGCAUACCAUCGGAUGUGCCCAUAUGGGAUUAGCUAGUUGGGGGGGUAACGGCUCACCUAGGCGACGCUCCCUAGCUGGUCUGAGAGGAUGACCAGCCACACUGGAACUGAGACACGGUCCAGACUCCUACGUGAGGCAGCAGUGGGGAAUAUUGCACAAUGGGCGCAAGCCUGAUGCAGCCAUGCCGCGUGUAUGAAGAAGGCCUUCGGGUUGUAAAGUACUUUCGGCGGGGAGGCGUUACCCGCAGAAGAAGCACCGGCUAACUCCGUGCCAGCAGCCGCGGUAAUAC